AGUGAACGCUGGCGGUAGGCCUAACACAUGCAAGUCGAACGGCAGCACAGUAAGAGCUUGCUCUUACGGGUGGCGAGUGGCGGACGGGUGAGGAAUACAUCGGAAUCUACUUUUUCGUGGGGGAUAACGUAGGGAAACUUACGCUAAUACCGCAUACGACCUACGGGUGAAAGCAGGGGAUCUUCGGACCUUGCGCGAUUGAAUGGGCCGAUGUCGGAUUAGCUAGUUGGCGGGGUAAAGGCCCACCAAGGCGACGAUCCGUAGCUGGUCUGAGAGGAUGAUCAGCCACACUUGAACUGAGACACGGUCCCGACUCCUACGGGAGGGAACAGUGGGGAAUAUUGGACAAUGGGCGGAAGCCUGAUCCAGCCAUACCGCGUGGGUGAAGGAGGCCUUCGGGUUGUAAAGCCCUUUUGUUGGGAAAAAAAAGCAGCAGGUUAAUACCCCGCUGUUCUGACGGUACCCAAAGAAUAAGCACCGGCUAACUUCGUG
rnacentral:rRNA from 1 species